AAAGCGCGCGUAGGUGGUUGUAAGUUGGAAUGUGAAAUCCCCGGGCUCAACCUGGGAACUGCAUUCAAAACUGACUGACUAGAGGUAUGGUAGAGGGUGGUGGAAUUUCCUGUGUAGCGGUGAAAUGCGUAGAUAUAGGAAGGAACACCAGUGGCGAAGGCGACCACCUGGACUGAUACUGACACUGAGGUGCGAAAGCGUGGGGAGCAAACAGGAUUAGAUACCCGUGU
rnacentral:rRNA from 1 species